UGGGGAAUAUUGCACAAUGGAAGGAACUCUGAUGCAGCGACGCCGCGUGAGUGAUGAAGGACUUCGUUUCGUAAAACUCUGUUCUAUGGGAAGAAAAGGACUGUACCAUAGGAGAAAGCUCCGGCUAAAUACGUGCCAGCAGCCGCGGUAAUACGUAUGGAGCGAGCGUUGUCCGGAAUUAUUGGGCGUAAAGGGUGCGCAGGCGGCUUUACAAGUUGGAUGUGAAAUAUUGUGGCUCAACCACAAACGUGCAUCCAAAACUGCAAAGCUUGAGUUAAGGAGAGGUAAGUGGAAUUCCUGGUGUAGCGGUGGAAUGCGUAGAUAUCAGGAGGAAUACCGGUGGCGAAGGCGACUUACUGGACUUAAACUGACGCUCAGGCACGAAAGCGUGGGGAGCAAACAGG
rnacentral:rRNA from 1 species